rnacentral:rRNA from 1 species
CGCUGGCGGCACGCCUAACACAUGCAAGUCGAACGAAGUAGCAAUACUUAGUGGCAGACGGGUGAGUAACAUGUAGGUAUCUGCCCUUUGGCCUGGAAUAACACGAGGAAACUUGUGCUAAUACCGGAUAAGUCUUUACGGAGAAAGCUUUAUGCACCAUUGGAUGAGCCUGCACUUGAUUAGUUUGUUGGUGGGGUAAUGGCCUACCAAGACUGUGAUCAAUAGCUGAUUUGAGAGGAUGAUCAGCCACAUUGGGACUGAGACACGGCCCAAACUCCUACGGGAGGCAGCAGUGGGGAAUCUUGCACAAUGGAGGAAACUCUGAUGCAGCGAUGCCGCGUGAGUGAAGAAGGCCCUUGGGUUGUAAAGCUCUUUCGUCGGGGAAGAAAAUGACUGUACCCGAAUAAGAAGGUCCGGCUAACUUCGUGCCAGCAGCCGCGGUAAUACGAAGGGACCUAGCGUAGUUCGGAAUUACUGGGCUUAAAGAGUUCGUAGGUUGUUGAAAUAGUUGGUGGUGAAAUCCCAGAGCUUAACUCUGGAACUGCCAUCAAAACUUUUCAGCUAGAGUAUGAUAGAGGAAAGCAGAAUUUCUAGUGUAGAGGUGAAAUUCGUAGAUAUUAGAAAGAAUACCAAAUGCGAAGGCAGCUUUCUGGAUCAUUACUGACACUGAGGAACGAAAGCAUGGGUAGCGAAGAGGAUUAGAUACCCUCGUAGUCCAUGCCGUAAACGAUGUGUGUUAGACGUUGGAAAUUUAUUUUCAGUGUCGCAGGGAAACCGAUAAACACACCGCCUGGGGAGUACGAC